rnacentral:lncRNA from 1 species
CCCACAUUGAGCCCCUUUGAGCUCUCCAAUCCUACAGCUCACCUUUUCUGUCAUGGUGAAUCUCCUCUCAGGUUCUUGAACUCCCUCAUUUUGCCAUUAUACAAUUCAGUGAGUCCUAGCUGAAAUGUAAAAACACCUGAGAAACUAACCACUAAAUUUGAGGCUUUAAAAAAAAAAGACAUCAUCCCGCUCUGUCGCCCAGGCUGGAGUGCAGUGGUGCGAUCUCGGCUUACCGCAAGUUCCACCUCCCGGGUUCACACCAUUCUCCUGCCUCAGCCUUCUGAGAAGCUGGGACUACAGGCGCCCGCCAUCAUGUCCGGCUAAUUUUUUUGUAUUUUUAGUAGAGACGGAGUUUCACAGUGUUAGCCAGGAUAGCCUUGAUUUCCUGACCUUGUGAUUCGCCCGCCUCGGCCUCCCAAAGUGCUGGGAUUACAAGCGUGAGCCACUGCGUCUGGCCUCCACUCUUUUGAAAAUCUUUACCAAGGGAUGUCUUGGUUCUCUUUCAAUGGCGGAGACAGCAUAUGUGUUUGUGCAUUACUUGAAGAUCUUCCACUCUACCAGAUGAAACUGGGAAAGGACAAUGUACCAAAGAGUAUCCAAGCACAGAAGGGAAUCUCAGUUUGAAGUUAGAAUUGAAUCCAAGAGGAAGAGAAGCAUCCUUCCUUCAGUGCCUUUGUGGUGGUGCUUGGUGAGAGAUAGUGGUGAAGGCAUUGCCUAAAGAGAGAGGCACUAACAGGCAGAGGAGUGGUUGAGACCAGUAAGAACUGCCCUGCCUGGUGGAGCAGAGGCAGAAGCUGAUGCCCAGGCUCUGCAGCAUCUAUAGGGAACUUGGUGCCUGCAGUGCUCAUCAAAUGAUCCAGAGGCCUCCUUGAACACUGCAAAACCCAGAAGAAAUUACCAUGCCAACGGAGCAGAACCAGAUCCUUUGGGGAAACACAGCGCUGGUGGAAGAACUAUAGCUCCAGCCACAGCUGAACUACAUUUUCUAGCAAUCCUCAGAAUAAGAUGUGGUCAUUGACUGAAUUCUGGACAAUGGAAUGGAGUAGAGUGAAAUACAUCACUCCUAGGUUUGGCCUGUCAAAUCUCAUGCACAAUUCUGUACAUUCAUGUGCCAGCCUCUCCUCGGGUGGGGACUCCAAGCACUUUGGAGUUGGUGGAGCCACAAGAUGGAUCUGAGAUCUUUGCUAAGGUAGGGUUUCCCUGGCUGGCCUAUAGCUGACUGUGACAUAAGAGAGAAAUAAAUUUUGAUUUUCUUAAGCUCCC